rnacentral:rRNA from 1 species
GUUCCAGCCGCCGCGGUAAUACAGAGGGUGCAAGCGUUGUUCGGAAUUAUUGGGCGUAAAGCGCGUGUAGGCGGCUUUGCAAGUCGGGUGUGAAAGCCCUCAGCUUAACUGAGGAAGUGCGCCCGAAACUGCAUCGCUUGAGUACCGGAGAGGAUGGUGGAAUUCCCGAAGUAGAGGUGAAAUUCGUAGAUAUCGGGAGGAACACCGGUGGCGAAGGCGACCAUCUGGACGGAUACUGACGCUGAGACGCGAAAGCGUGGGUAGCAAACAGGAUUAGAUACCCCCGUAGUCC